GCGCCCAUGUUUGAACUUGGAGGGAAAGACUGUUUGUAACUUGCAUGUGAAACUUAACCCUGAAGCUGCCAGAAUCACAGUAAAGAGAUUAGAGACAGAGAUGCAGCGUGCUGCACACAGACAGUGCAGAUGGAAUCCAGGCUUGGAACGCUGGGACAGUCUCAAGAGGCAUUUGGAAGGUUAUCCUUCAUCUCUGCCUGCGGCAUUAUCCCUGUAGAUUUCAAGGCAUGAAUUUUCUACAGUAAAGGGUAUAUAUAAUAUAUAUAUAUAUAUAUAUAUAUAUAUAUAUCGUCACUCAACAGGAUUUUUACCCUGAUGCCUUCCAGAUCAGCGCAUGUCAAGAGAACAUCAAAACAAAGUGUUGGUGUGCUCAAUUAAGAACUGAGUUCCGCCUGGUGUCAUCAGCGCAGACCCCCAUGUUUUGUUUUUGGCUCUAAACCAUCAUCGUGUUUUGAUUUAAAAAAAAAAAACAUGCUGAAA